UUGCCUGCACAUGCCCGGGGCAGAGAUGCUGCCUCAGCCUCUGCAGCUCUUUUUUUGUGUCUUGCAUGACUUGCUCCAAUAACCUGCAUGGUGCAAUAGAGGUUUUCUUUUGGGGGAGAAACUGAGAAAAAAAAGCCCCAAUCUCUACACCAGGAAUGAGAGAGAGACAACAAACUGGCUCUAGCUCCCUUUCUCAGCCUUGGCACAAAGAGAUACCAGAGAGACUGGUUCAGCUCCAGAAAACGGCUGCCGUACUGCCUCCCCCAUCCCCCUCUGCCUUGCAGCAGGGCGGGAUUUUCCUGGCACCUACCACUGAAAUCAAAGAGAGGUUUUGCUCUUCGGUUUCCCCAGAAGGCAGAAUUGGCUGGAAGGAACAACUGAGAAAAAUCUUGCCCCCAGCAGAGAACUUCCUGCAGCAUCUGUGAAGGACUCUGCUCCCCUCAGCUGGACACAGCACCAGGCUCGCUGCUCACCCUGCUUAUGGGACAGUCGCACCAGGUGUGAUGGCUUGGGCAACCCAGAUGCUGAAAGCAUUUGUGAGGGGGAAAAAGUACUGAAAAGCCAGGUGCUGUAAUGCUGCAGGAAGCCGAGAGAGGAGCAGAGCAGUGCCCUGGCAUUCUGUCGGACUGAGUCUGCUCCUUCAGCAUCACAGGCGCCAGA